rnacentral:rRNA from 1 species
CCAGACUCCUACGGGAGGCAGCAGUGGGGGAUAUUGCACAAUGGGGGGAACCCUGAUGCAGCGACGCCGCGUGGGUGAAGGAGCGUUUCGGCGCGUAAAGCCCUAUCGGCAGGGAAGAAGGAGGACGGUACCUGACUAAGAAGCCCCGGCUAACUAAGUGCCAGCAGCCGCGGUAAUACGUAUGGAGCAAGCGUUAUCCGGAAUUACUGGGUGUAAAGGGAGCGUAGGCGGCAAGGCAAGUCUGAUGUGAAAACCCGGGGCCCAACCCUGGGACUGCAUUGGAAACGGUAUUGCUUGAGUGCCGGAGAGGCAGGCGGAAUUCCUAGGGUAGCGGUGAAAUGCGUAGAUAUUAGGAGGAACACCAGUGGCGAAGGCGGCCUGCUGGACGGUAACUGACGCUGAGGCUCGAAAGCGUGGGGAGCAAACAGGAUUAGAUACCCCAGUA